rnacentral:rRNA from 1 species
AUUGAACGCUGGCGGGAGGCCUUACACAUGCAAGUCGAGCGAGCGGCGGACGGGUGAGUUAUGUCUGGGAAACUGCCUGAUGGAGGGGGCUACCUACUAGCAACGGUAGUACAUACUGCAUACCAUCAGAUGGGCCCAGAUGGGAUUAGCUAGUAGGUGGGGUAACGGCUCACCAAGGCGACGGGCCGUAGCUGGUCUGAGAGGACGACCAGCCACACUGGAACUGAGACACGGGCCAGACUCCGACGGGAGGCAGCAGUGGGGAAUAUUGCACAAUGGGCGCAAGCCUGAUGCAGCCAUGCCGCGUGUGUGAAGAAGGCCUUCGGGUUGUAAAGCACUUUCGGCAGGAAAGCGUUACCCGCAGAAGAAGCACCGGCUAACUCCGUGCCAGCCGCCGCGGUAAUAC